rnacentral:tRNA from 1 species
GGUUCAAAUCCCUCUAUCCCCA